CAGACACAAUAAAAGCAGUCUUGGCUUUACUAUCAGGGUCCAUUAUCACUUGCCAAUAUCCACUGUUGAGGUCUAUGGUAGAGAAAAUGUAUGCCCCGGAGAGUGAUUCUAGGAUCUCCGUGAUGUUUGGGAGAGGAACUACAGGUGAGGCCCAAGCAGAAUGUGAUGGCUCCACAAUUCCUUCUUUCAACAUUACCUCCAAUUGUUCCUCCAUUGCUGCUUGUUUGACAGGAGAUAACCGAUAUGGCCGUUGCUUGAUAGGAACCUGGCAGGUGGUAUAGAUGCGAUGUUGCAAGACAUCUGUUCGCCCAGUUCGGCCACUAAAAAAGAUGAAGUCCAAACCCAGGAUGAUGGCAUAAGCAAGAGCUUGAGAAGGGAGGACAACAGCAGGCACUGUAAUGGCUUUAUCGUGCAGAUGAAUAUUAAUGUUUAUCCAUCCUAAAGGACUCUCAGCUUUGCCAUUCGCCAGGUAGAGAGGACCACAUGACCACGGUUGGAGCUGAACAGGGUUUGCAAUUUGCUUCAUAAGACUCUCGUGAAUUAACGUAUAGCUUGCUCCAGUAUCCACAAUCGCUUUCCCCGACCAGGAUUCAAUACGAAUUGGAACUACUAAUUGUUGUGGUAUGGUCAUGAAUGCAUUUGAUCGUGAAGGGAUUGAAAUCUGAGUUUCCGCUUGUGCCUGAGAUAUUUCAGAGGCUGCCACAUUAUUAUUGGAUGGUCGUCCUCCUGAUUUUGCAGAGUGGUGAGCAUACUUUCCUUGUGUGAAAUGUUGUUGACCAGAAGACUGCUGAGAGGGUGGAUGUACAUACAUUGGGCAGUUGCCUGGAGGAUGUGGUCCAUUACAUCUCCAACAUUGAACAAACGGUUUCUCAGCAGAUCGGUUGGAUAAGUGUUUUUGUGAAUUGGCUUGUUGUUUAAAACCCCCACGACCUUCAUACCGAAGCUGUUCUUCAUGGUCUUUUUCCAGUUGGUGUCCGAGUCUAACCAAAUCUUCGACAGUAUUAACACGACUACGCAGCUGGCUUGCAAGUGCGGACACGUUCAGCCAGCUCGUCCUCAUAGUCCUCAGACAAAAAAGCAGAGAGAAAUGCAGCCUCAAACUCCUUCCAAGUGCUUAUAUUGGAGCGACUUACUUCCCACCAGUCACGUGCAGUACCAUGCAACACUGUGCGGAAGGUAGCUAAGAGAUCUGCAUCUGUCAAGGGAUGUAGAGCCAGAAAAUCUUGACACUUAGUCAAGUACAACAGGGGGUCAGCAUCAUCGAUAGGCCGCCCAAAUGUGGGAAAUGUUAAUUUAAUGUGGUCACUUUUGACCAGAGGCAUUGAUAGAGAAGAUAAAACAUUCUCUAUUGGAU